UUGAGUAUUGUUAGGUAUAAAAUAACCCCAGCCGAAGUUUGUAAGAGGCCGACUCUCUCAGAGCUCUUCUGGCUUCCGACCUUGUGCGGCGUCUUUCUGAACUCUCCUGAUUGUCCGAGCUUCUAUAAUACCAUCCGGACUCCCCCAGCUGUCGACCUUCCAUAGUGUCCUCCAGAUUCCUCCAACAGACGAACUCCUAUCGUACCAUCCAGACUCCCCCAGCUCUCGACC
rnacentral:lncRNA from 1 species